AACGAACGCUGGCGGCAUGCCUAACACAUGCAAGUCGAACGAGACCUUCGGGUCUAGUGGCGCACGGGUGCGUAACGCGUGGGAACCUGCCCUUAGGUUCGGAAUAACUCCCCGAAAGGGGUGCUAAUACCGGAUAAUGUCUUCGGACCAAAGAUUUAUCGCCUUUGGAUGGGCCCGCGUUGGAUUAGCUAUUUGGUAGGGUAAAAGCCUACCAAGGCGACGAUCCAUAGCUGGUCUGGGAGGAUGAUCAGCCACACUGGGACUGAGACACGGCCCAGACUCCUACGGGAGGCAGCAGUGGGGAAUAUUGGACAAUGGGCGAAAGCCUGAUCCAGCAAUGCCGCGUGAGUGAUGAAGGCCUUAGGGUUGUAAAGCUCUUUUACCCGGGAUGAUAAUGACAGUACCGGGAGAAUAAGCUCCGGCUAACUCCGUG
rnacentral:rRNA from 1 species